rnacentral:rRNA from 1 species
UACGUAGGGUGCGAGCGUUGCCCGGAUUUAUUGGGCGUAAAGGGCGCGUAGGCGGUGAGAUGCGUCCGUUGUGAAAUCGCCCGGCUCAACUGGGCGGGGUCAGCGGAUACGGUCUCACUUGAGCAAGCUAGGGGGCAAUGGAAUUCCCGGUGUAGUGGUGGAAUGCGUAGAUAUCGGGAGGAACACCAGUGGCGAAGGCGGUGCCUGGGGCUUGCUGACGCUGAGGCGCGAAAGCGUGGGAGCGA